UACGUAGGUGGCAAGCGUUGUCCGGAAUUAUUGGGCGUAAAGCGCGCGCAGGCGGUCUUUUAAGUCUGAUGUGAAAGCCCACGGCUCAACCGUGGAGGGUCAUUGGAGACUGGGAGACUUGAGUGCAGAAGAGAAGAGUGGAAUUCCACGUGUAGCGGUGAAAUGCGUAGAGAUGUGGAGGAACACCAGUGGCGAAGGCGACUCUUUGGUCUGUAACUGACGCUGAGGCGCGAAAGCGUGGGGAGCAAACAGG
rnacentral:rRNA from 1 species